rnacentral:rRNA from 1 species
CCUACGGGAGGCAGCAGUGGGGAAUAUUGGACAAUGGGCGCAAGCCUGAUCCAGCAAUGCCGCGUGAGUGAUGAAGGCCUUCGGGUCGUAAAGCUCUUUUACCCGGGAUGAUAAUGACAGUACCGGGAGAAUAAGCUCCGGCUAACUCCGUGCCAGCAGCCGCGGUAAUACGGAGGGAGCUAGCGUUGUUCGGAAUUACUGGGCGUAAAGCGCACGUAGGCGGUUAUUCAAGUCAGAGGUGAAAGCCCGGGGCUCAACCCCGGAACUGCCUUUGAAACUAGAUGACUAGAAUCUUGGAGAGGUCAGUGGAAUUCCGAGUGUAGAGGUGAAAUUCGUAGAUAUUCGGAAGAACACCAGUGGCGAAGGCGACUGACUGGACAAGUAUUGACGCUGAGGUGCGAAAGCGUGGGGAGCAAACAGGAUUUGAUACCCUGGUAGUCCACGCCGUAAACGAUGAUAACUAGCUGUCCGGGUACUUGGUAUUUGGGUGGCGCAGCUAACGCAUUAAGUUAUCCGCCUGGGGAGUACGGUCGCAAGAUUAAAACUCAAAUGAAUUGACGG